AUGAACGCUGGCGGCGUGCCUCAUACAUGCAAGUCGCGCGAACAGACGAGGAGCUUGCUCCUCUGACGUUAGCGGCGGACGGGUGAGUACACGUGGAUAACCUACCUAUAAGACUGGGAUAACUUCGGGAAACCGGAGCUAAUACCGGAUAAUAUAUUGAACCGCAUGGUUCAAUAGUGAAAGACGGUUUUGCUGUCACUUAUAGAUGGAUCCGCGCCGCAUUAGCUAGUUGGUAAGGUAACGGCUUACCAAGGCAACGAUGCGUAGCCGACCUGAGAGGGUGAUCGGCCACACUGGAACUGAGACACGGUCCAGACUCCUACGGGAGGCAGCAGUAGGGAAUCUUCCGCAAUGGGCGAAAGCCUGACGGAGCAACGCCGCGUGAGUGAUGAAGGUCUUCGGAUCGUAAAACUCUGUUAUUAGGGAAGAACAAAUGUGUAAGUAACUAUGCACGUCUUGACGGUACCUAAUCAGAAAGCCACGGCUAACUACGUG
rnacentral:rRNA from 1 species